AUGGUUCUUGGACUGCUGGUGAGUCCCCCAGCCACGGUGCUAUGGACAUUCCUGGGCCUGGCGCUUCUCUGGCAGGUCAAGCGGCUGGUUGACUACACGUGGUGGCGGCCGCGGCGUCUCCAGAGGGCGCUGCGCGCGCAGGGCCUCCGCGGGACGCCAUACCGCUUCCCCGUCGGCGACCUCGGCGACUACGGGCGGCAGGGCAAGGAGGCGUCGUACCUCUGCAACACCGUCCGGGAGCACGGCAAGACGUGCGUCUCCUGGUUCGGCCCCGUCCCCAAGGUGACCAUCGCCGACCCCGGUGUCACCCGGGAGGUGAUGUCCAACAAGUUCGGCCACUUCGAGAAGCUCCAGUUCCCGACGCUGACCAGGCUCCUCGCCGGCGGCGUCGCGGUCUACGAGGGCGAGAAGUGGGUCAAGCACCGGAGGAUUCUCAACCCCGCUUUCCAUAUCGAGAAGCUCAAGCUCAUGAUGCCGGCGUUCUCUGCGUGUUGUGAAGAGCUUGUGAGCAGAUGGACUCAGGCUCUUGGUUCUGACGGUUGGUGCGAGGUGGAUGUUUGCCCGGAGUUUCAGACCCUCACUGGAGAUGUCAUCUCACGCACCGCGUUCGGCAGCAGCUACCUCGAAGGAAGAAGGAUUUUCGAGCUGCAGUCUGAGCAAGCCGACCGCAUUGUGGCAGAAGUUAAGAAGAUCUUCAUUCCUGGUUACAUGUCCUUGCCUACCAAGAACAGACUGAUGCAUCAAACUAAUAACGAGAUUGAAUCCAUUCUACGAGGCCUGAUUGAAAAAAGAAUGCAAGCGAUGCAACAAGGAGAAAGCACCAAAGAUGAUUUACUCGGCUUAAUGCUUGAGUCAAACAUGAGGGAAACAGACGACAAGGGUCAGCCCAUCCUAGGAAUGACAAUUGAAGAAGUGAUAGAGGAAUGCAAAUUGUUCUACUUUGCAGGGUCGGAGACGACAUCAGUACUGCUCACUUGGACAAUGAUCAUACUGGCCAUGCACCCUGAGUGGCAGGACCGUGCAAGGGAGGAGGUCCUUGGCCUAUUUGCGAAGAACAAGCCCGAGUAUGACGGCUUUAGCAAGCUCAAAACCGUGACCAUGAUUCUUUACGAGGUUCUCCGUCUUUACCCGCCGGCCGUUGCAUUCAUGCGAAAAACAUACAAGGAGAUAGAGAUUGGAAGCAUCACCUACCCCGCAGGUGUGAUCAUCGAGCUGCCCGUGCUACUUAUCCACCAUGACCCCGACAUAUGGGGAAGCGAUGUGCAUGAGUUCAAGCCAGAAAGGUUUGCUGAUGGGAUUGCGAAGGCAUCCAAGGAUCCUGGUGCCUUCCUCCCAUUUGGUUGGGGUCCACGGAUUUGCAUCGGUCAGAAUUUUGCGCUGCUUGAGGCUAAGAUGGCUUUGUGCAUGAUCCUUCAACACUUCGAAUUCGACCUUGCCCCGACGUAUUCUCAUGUGCCGCAUAACCAGAAAAUGUUGCGCCCCAUGCAUGGUGCACAAAUUAAGCUCAGGACAAUAUGA
rnacentral:rRNA from 1 species